UGCUCUCGCUCGCCCUCCCACACACACUUAGCCAUGCCACAAACCAAAUCUCCAACAGCGCAUCGCCUACCUCUACAGCUGUCGCUGCUGCUGUUAAUCGUCAGCGGUGCUGCUGGCGUCUCCGUUGCGUCCUCGGCCAAUCUGCAGCCCUCGCCACGCUUUUUCUAUGCUGCGACGGCGGCGGCCACCCCACCAUCAGAUGCCGCCUCACAGACAAAGGUGCGUCUGCUGCGGCAGACAAACGGCGCAGCAGUACCCGACGAUGAGGGAAGCUGUUGCCAGGGGGCAGCCGCCGAUGCUGGAACACCUGUAACGUUGCCAUUGGAACUUGCAACGGACUUGAGCAAUAUCACCGCCGACUACGAUGUCUCUGGCGAAAUGUCCUCCAAGGAAAACUUCAAACGCAGCGUCACCAGAUCUGCCAUACGGAAUGCCCAGCCUGCGAUCUGCUCGCCUCAGCCGACCAUUGUGGAGCUGAAACCGCCCAGCGAUGAGGCGGGGAACUUCAAUGUCUACUAUACGCCUGCAUGCACGCGCAUUAAUCGCUGCAAUGGCUGCUGCGGCUCCACAUUGAUCUCCUGCCAGCCCACGCAGACGGAGAAGGUGCAGAUGCGUGUGCGGAAAUUCGAACGUGGCGGCACAUCCAAGCGCAGCUCGGAAAUCAUUGUGGUCGAACAGCAUUUGGCGUGCCGCUGCGACUGCCGCAUCAAGGCCGAGGACUGCAAUGCGUAUCAGCUGUACAGGAGAGAAUUGUGCCGCUGCGAGUGCCAGAAUACGGACGCCAGGGACAAGUGCUUGGAGCAGGCCGACAGCAAGUAUUGGGACGAUGCAAAUUGCACCUGUGCCUGCCGCUACAAUCAGAGCUGCACCACCGGCACCGUUUUCGAUGAGACGCAAUGCAAAUGCACCGAUAUCAAAAAUGUCGAGUAUUAUUCGUAAUUCGUUAACAAACACACACACACAAACACAAUGUUCCACUGUUCCAUUUUGUUGCCGAGAAAUUUGUUAAACAUAUUUGAAGAAUUUCAUAACCAUUUAAAAGAAAGAAAGAGAGAGAGAGAAAACUUAUCUUUGUGAUACUUUCCUGCAAAACGUAACUAAAAUUAGAAGCCAUUGGUUUAAGGCAAUUUAUUGUAAAAUGUAACUUAUAGUAGAGCUGUGUUGAGGCAAGAGAGAGAGAGAGAGAGAGAGGGAGAGGAGUGUGAUCCCCAGAAGGUUUCGUUGCAUUGUCCAUCGGCCCCCAUUGAUGUGGUGGAUCGCAAGCGUUUCAUUGUCCAGGCAGUGGAGGUAGAGCCCGACAACACCACUCUCUAUCAUGUGUAAGAGCGCUGAGGAGGAAGCAAGGAAAAGAAGGACCAGUAGGAGGAGCACCAGCUGGGACUACAACCUGGAAUGGCGAGAGAUUGUACUGAGAAACCCACAAAUUACACAAUGAUUGCACUAAGCUUAACUGCACACGUACUUUAUAUAUUAUUUAUAGUUAUCGAUUUAGACCUAGUCUAUUACAACAACCCACACACGUCACACACAUUCCGCCCCCGUGCCCCCGUACCUCCGUACCCCCGUAUUCAGUAUUCUGUCUGUUGUUCCCUCAUUUUGUGCGUGCAGCCUAAUUAUUAAUUUUUUUUUUAUUGAUUUGUUAGCUAACUUUUUAGGCGCCUAUUUCCAUGUUUAAGUUUUAUAUUUUUCAAUAUCACAGAAAUUUCACUUUUGCCGCACACCUCCCAUAAUUGUGUGUAGAUUUUUGUUUUGUAUAAUUUGUAUGCAAAUUUUCUAGCUUUAAGUCUGGCCAUUCCAAGAACACGAUGCAAGAGAAUAUACAAAGAUUAUUGAAAUAAUA